UCAUUAGCUGACUGUAAAUGACACAUUUGCCCAAGAAUAUCAAAAAUUCAAAUCUAAACAGGAAGUUCUGUGAGAGCAGGAAGGAGUUAUUUCACUAUAAAGAAGUUUAUUUAUAUAGCUCUUUGUUUACAAUGUGCAGUUCAUAUUUAACAUGGAAGUUUAAGCGUGAUGAAAAGAAUACAAAUGGUAUAGCACCAUGUGUAUAUUAAAUUUGGCACACAUGAAUGAAUUGGGACCUUAUCAACGUAUUGUGUUCAAAGAAGACUUAACGAAUCCAGCAGUUCAAAAACAUGUUUUGCAGUGAGACGAAUGGUGACAAUGGCUUUGUGGCAGUUAGUAAAAUAAAAACAAGAGCUGUCCAUAAGACAGCCAAGCUCGACUAUUCGAAAUAUUGUCACAGAAGCAGGAAAUUAUUACCCAAAAUGUUAAAUAUCAAAAGAGUUUUAAGUUCGAAAGGGGACAUAAUUUGACCAAAAUACAUA